rnacentral:rRNA from 1 species
UACGAAGGGGGCUAGCGUUGCUCGGAAUCACUGGGCGUAAAGGGCGCGUAGGCGGCGUUUUAAGUCGGGGGUGAAAGCCUGUGGCUCAACCACAGAAUGGCCUUCGAUACUGGGACGCUUGAGUAUGGUAGAGGUUGGUGGAACUGCGAGUGUAGAGGUGAAAUUCGUAGAUAUUCGCAAGAACACCAGUGGGGAAGGCGUCUCACUGGCCCGAUACUGACGCUGAGGCACGAAAGCGUGGGGAGCAAACAGG